AUUGAACGCUGGCGGCAUGCUUUACACAUGCAAGUCGAACGGUAACAGGUUAAGCUGACGAGUGGCGAACGGGUGAGUAAUGCAUCGGAACGUGCCCGGUCGUGGGGGAUAACGCAGCGAAAGCUGCGCUAAUACCGCAUACGAUCUGAGGAUGAAAGCGGGGGACCGUAAGGCCUCGCGCGAUCGGAGCGGCCGAUGUCAGAUUAGGUAGUUGGUGGGGUAAAGGCUCACCAAGCCAACGAGCUGUAGCUGGUCUGAGAGGACGACCAGCCACACUGGGACUGAGACACGGCCCAGACUCCUACGGGAGGCAGCAGUGGGGAAUUUUGGACAAUGGGCGAAAGCCUGAUCCAGCAAUGCCGCGUGCAGGAAGAAGGCCUUCGGGUUGUAAACUGCUUUUGUACGGAGCGAAAAGGUCUCCUCUAAUACAGGGGGCUCAUGACGGUACCGUAAGAAUAAGCACCGGCUAACUACGUGCCAGCAGCCACCGUAA
rnacentral:rRNA from 1 species